rnacentral:rRNA from 1 species
CAGUCGCCGCGGUAAUACGUAGGUGGCAAGCGUUGUCCGGAAUUAUUGGGCGUAAAGAGCUCGCAGGCGGUCUCUUAAGUCUGAUGUGAAAGCCCCCGGCUCAACCGGGGAGGGUCAUUGGAAACUGGGAAACUUGAGUGCAGAAGAGGAGGGUGGAAUUCCACGUGUAGCGGUGAAAUGCGUAGAGAUGUGGAGGAACACCAGUGGCGAAGGCGACUCUCUGGUCUGUAACCGACGCUGAGGAGCGAAAGCGUGGGGAGCGAACAGGAUUAGAUACCCCGGUAGUCCCUGUCUCUUAUAC